rnacentral:rRNA from 1 species
UGGGGAAUAUUGCACAAUGGGCGCAAGCCUGAUGCAGCCAUGCCGCGUGUAUGAAGAAGGCCUUCGGGUUGUAAAGUACUUUCAGCGGGGAGGAAGGGAGUAAAGUUAAUACCUUUGCUCAUUGACGUUACCCGCAGAAGAAGCACCGGCUAACUCCGUGCCAGCAGCCGCGGUAAUACGGAGGGUGCAAGCGUUAAUCGGAAUUACUGGGCGUAAAGCGCACGCAGGCGGUUUGUUAAGUCAGAUGUGAAAUCCCCGGGCUCAACCUGGGAACUGAAACUGAUACUGGCAAGCUGGAGUCUCGUAGAGGGGGGUAGAAUUCCAGGUGUAGCGGUGAAAUGCGUAGAGAUCUGGAGGAAUACCGGUGGCGAAGGCGGCCCCCUGGACGAAGACUGACGCUCAGGUGCGAAAGCGUGGGGAGCAAACAGG